CAGGGACACUGGAGACCAGUAGAAGACCAGUAUAAAGACUGGGACCUGAAGUCUGGAUCUGCUGUGUGUCAACAUCUGGACUGUGGAUCAGCUGUUUCAGUCAACACAACAGAUGAUUCUACAGACAGACCUGUGUGGUCGGUCUCAGUUCGUUGUGUAAAGCUGACAUCUGGACUGAGGGACUGUGUUGGACUAGAUGGUUCCUAUAAUCUCUCCUCUGCUGUGGACGUGGUGUGUUCAGAUCAGCCCAACAUCUCCCUGUCUGACGGGGUCUUUGGGGUCUACCAGCAGGGGUUCUGGGUGCUGGUGGGCUCCGACUUCACCGUCACCUGCUCCGUCCGACCGCAGUACCCGGGAGGCUCCUUCCAGCUGAUCUCCGACACCAAGAAGCCGCUGAACCUCACCCUGCCGGCCGUCAAUCACUCCGCCCACUUUCUGUUGUCCUCCAUGGGCU